ACGAACGCUGGCGGCAUGGAUUAGGCAUGCAAGUCGAACGGUUUAUGCGCCGCAAGGUGUAUAGAUAGUGGCGAAAGGGUGAGGAACACGUGAGUAACCUACCCCCAAGUUGGGAACAACCCUUCGAAAGGAGGGCUAAUACCGGAUGUGGAUACGAGACCGCAUGGUUUUGUUUCUAAAGAUUUAUCGCUUGGGGAGGGGCUCGCGUCCCAUUACGCUUGUUGGCGGGGUAACGGCCCACCAAGGCUAUGACGGGUAGCUGGUCUGAGAGGAUGACCAGCCACACUGGGACUGAGACACUGCCCAGACUCCUACGGGAGGCUGCAGUCGAGAAUCUUCCGCAAUGGGCGAAAGCCUGACGGAGCAAUGCCGCGUGCAGGAUGAAGGCCCUCGGGUUGUAAACUGCUGUCAUCGGGGACGAAUAAAUGACGGUACCCGGAGAGGAAGCAACGGCUAACUACGU
rnacentral:rRNA from 1 species